CUCAGCUCUAAACUGGGUGUUUUGCAAACAGCAUGAGUUACUAUGUAUCCAGGUAGGUGGGGUCAGCACACAGCGUCUCCUUGUUUUCCUGUCUUGUAAUAAUUAACCCCUUCUCUUGGGGGACUCCAAGUAAUUGCCUUUCCUGUAAACAGUUGGUAAUUGCAACUGUGUGGUGGUGGCCUGAGAAAGUGGGAAUGCAGAGAAAACAGCAUUUCUGGUUUUGAGGACCUGCACGUGCAGAAGCAGGAGUGUGGCAUGUGCAGGUACACACAGGAACUGCAGAAUCAGGACAGUGCUUCCACUGCCUAGAACUUGGCCCUGGGCAAAACAGUGUAGGACUUGUACCCAGAAACUUUCCAUGUGAGGCAGCUGUCUCCAAGAAAAACAGAAAAAGUCCCAGUUGGGCUUAUGAAGAAUGAAAUCAGCCCCAAGCCCCCAUCUCUCAGAAAAGUUGUUAUUAAAUUCUGUGCCUGCCCCUGACCUGGAUUUAAAGAUUUGCAAGAAGACAAAUUCCAAACAGAUGCCCAUUAGGGCCCUGACAGCCGCAGCUUAAAGAUAACAUUUACAUUCUGCCGGGGUUUGUAUCUCUCUGUUCCCCACGAGGGCCCUCUCCCGCCUCUAGUGGGAUCAAUACCUUGGUCGAGGUUACGAGGAGGUGGCCCACAUUCUUUUAAGCUGUUUGCUCAGUGCUUGGUUUGUUCUGCUAACAUGCUGGGCACUUCUUCUAACAGCCCUGUUUGCCCAGUAUUAGGGCUGUUUGCUGAAACACCUAGCCCACUCCGAGGGGGCUCAGCUUUCUAAACAGUUGGUCCCUGGAUCUGUCAAUCAAUAACACCAAUUGGGUUCCCGAUAUGGACAGCAGUGUGGCCAAGUCCAAUAUUUGUCCACACACUGCCCUCUCCCCCUGCACCUGACUGUCCCCAGCUUGACAAGGAGGACAUUCAGCAAGCGCACAGGCUGCUGGGAAGAUACAAUGUUGGCAAGCAGGGAGCUGUUCCCGGAAGGGAGGGCACGUGAGCAAACAGGAUGGCCCCUUUAUUCGAGGUAAUUUACUGAAAUGCAUGACGAUUACCUGCUCACCCAGCCCUGGGGUAAUUAAAAGUGGCAGGCUCUGGGCUCUGGCUUCUCUGGCGCUGGCAGAGAAGGCUGGGUUUCUACUUGGGAUGCUUGCAGUUCGAGUGCAUGGAAUCAGUGUCUGGAAAGGACCAAAGAGAGCAAGAGAAAGGUUUCCUAAAAAAAAGAGGCUGAUGGUUAACGCAGUGUACAGUCUUUUUUUUGGCGGGGGGGAAGUGACGGUGUUCUGGAGCUUGAUAGAGGUGUUGGUUGUACAACACUGUGAACACACUAAAUGCCACUGAACCAUUCAUUUUGGGAUGGUUCAUUUUAUGUGAUGUGAAUUUCACCUAAAAGAAAAAAAAGGGUGAAUCCCAGGGAAGACAGGAUGUUUACACUUGAGAGGCCUAAUGCCUAACUCAGCAUUUGGCUCGAGUGCACGCUUAAUAAAUGUUUAUUGAAAGAACAACCUAACAUUUGCACGGUCAACAAAGCUCUUUGUUACACAUUAGCUCACUUUAUCCUUAAAGCACCCUCUGUGGUUGACAGGGGUAAGAGUUAGCAUUCUUAUGUUGUAAGGGGAAACUAAGGCUCAGAGAGCAGUGAGGCUUGUAUCAUAUACCACAGCCACCAGUAGAGAUGGUGCUGGGAUUCAAACCCAAAAGCUCUGGCUGUAAAGUUGGUGCAGGUAUGACUAUCUUGUCUUAGAGCUUCUAGAUGGGAAAGAAAAAGGGUCUUACAAAUAUUCCAUGCCCUUCUUUUAGGACAUUUAUGACCAGAAAUAUUUAAUAAUUCAACUGUCAUGCCAGUCAUUCUCCCCACUGUUCCUAGCACAGUGCUUGGUAAUUCUGGGUUCAGCAGCAGGAGAGACCCAUGGUCGGUGCUUGCGGUCACUGUUCUGAGAGAUGAGGGACAGCUUGGAGUGACAGAGGCCAAAGGCUGUGGCUGUGCAGUGUCUGUGAGAAGGGGCUGGGGGCUGCGUGGCUCCUGGGAGCUUUUGCUGGGUGCACGGUAUCCUCUGCAUCCCAGGAUGCUGUGAUGGGGAGGUGGGUGGUGGCCGGGCCAUCGACUGUCAGGAUUGGUGUAGCCGCAGUUGCCGAGGGUCUGGAGCACAGUGAUUACCUCCAGGAUGGAGGCUUUGAUGGUAACAGCCACAAGUCCGUAAGCCUUCAACUGGGGCGGUCUUCUGACCUAGCCUUUAGUGAGUGUUUUAUCAUGCAUGGGGGUUCCUCAGACCCACUGGGGCAGUUAUUUCGAGAGGCACUGGGUCAAGGUGCAGAACUAAGCCUUCUAAAGUGCAGUACAAACCUAGUUAUGUUCUUCCCCAGCACGGUUGUGUCUGGUAUAUUGUGUCACACUCUUGCAUUCAAAAAGUAGAUUUAUUUUAUUUUUUUGAGACAGGGUCUCACUGUAUGGCCCAGGCUAGCCUUGAACUCGUGGCAAUCCUCAUGCCUCAGCCUCUUGAGUCUGGGAUUACAGGCAUGCAUACUGUUAAAAGGUAGAUUUAAAGUAAACACUGAGAGCACAUUAAUACAAAGAUGAGCAAAAUGAACUGGAGUUACCAUAUCAUUCGUACUAGGUGACUGCAAUUUAUUUUUAUCUAAAACUUAAAAUAGUGGGAACUCUGAGGUGUAAUAUUUUUGCUGAGUAUAUAAUUUAGCUCUUGCUUAAAAUAUUUUGCUGAAUUUCAAUAAUGUUUCAAAAAUUGAAACUUACUAUUCAGUUAUUUAAAAAUGACAGAACAAAAUCAAGACAAUGAGUUAUCAGUAAACUGGGUUUAUUAACAUCCUAUUAUUAGUCACUGGCUAAUUAUUGACAUAAAUCAUGUUUACAUCACACUGUAACCAAAGGGUCAAAGUGCAAACUGAUAGGUGUAUAAAUAAAAGCCAGGGGGUAAAUCAUUGUACUUUUUUGUCCUGGAGAAACUCAGAGUAACUCAGUGUCUAACAGUACUGGGAGACCAUCAGGUGGCUUGUCAUUUUUCUGAAUUUCUAAAGAAAUUUGGAGCAGGGCACCUGCGCCAACCUAAAAUGACGUGAAUUUCAUGAAGCUCAACAAUGAAGAAUCAGAAGACUGAAAGAGAAGGCAACUGAAACCACCACGUCUGGGUGGAUUUAAACAUGUGUCAGGUCUGAAAUCAUGUGCUGCUAGUGAAAGAUUCUGAGAUCGGCCGUGCAGCCGCUCCAGUGCACCUGCACAAUCGCUCUUCCUGUCAUUUCAGGAUUUGUACAGGAAAUCACUGUCACAUGGAGGAGGGGGAGGUCAGCUGUCAAGCAUGGUGGCUUCACCCCUGCUCCUGUCCCCGCUGGCUGGGCUGCAUGGGCAGGGGCCCAGCUGGCGGGUGCUGGGGCAGAGCAAGCCUGUUCUCACCUGCCCUCCUCCUGAACCAGUCCCACUUCUUGCCAAGGGGCGGCCAGCCAGGCUCUCUUGCUGCCAUUCAAGCUGGUUUAAGUCAACCGUGUCUGGCUGUUAGGAUCCUGUUCCACAGCUGUGUCUCUUGUUUUCUAGGGGCCUCACACCAAGGCUGGCAGGGGGACCUGGGCAAUGUCACUGUUGUGUGGCAACAUCCGUCGUGGUGUUUAUAGUGGGCUUGUGUAGCAGAGGCAGUGGGUGCAAAGUAGCUUUCCAGACCCUCAGGGAAGCUCACAAAUCUGUCUCACAUCCCCACUUUAGGAUCAGCCUUGUGCUGGGCACCAUGGGGUAAACAAAGUCAGACAAGACUCAGCACCUGGCCCCUGGAGAGCUCUCUCUGCUGUGGACGGGCAUGACUGGAACUGAGGGAGGGAGGGAGGCGUUCUAGGAGGGGCAGGCAGGUUGUGAGGUUGUUAAGGGAGUGAGAGGGCCAUGCCGGGUUUCCUGGGGAGGCUGGGGCUCUGGGAAAGAGCAUCCCUUGGAAGUGAACAUGUGGGCUGACACCAGCUCGGGGCCUUGAGCAGGUCCCCCUGCUUCUGGGACUCAGCAUCCUCCCCUGAGCACUGGUGGGUGGGGUGAGCUGCUGGGCCGGAUGUCAUGAGGGGAAACAUCGAUCGCCAAGCCCAGCGCCUGCCCAGAGCUAAGUGCUUAACAAGAGGUGGCAGACGUCAUGUCUCAGGAUCUCCCAGGAGAGUCCCCUUCAUCAGCCCAUCAAGAUCCACUCCAUCCCGAUGCACAGCAGAAUCGAGGGCUUAAAGCAAGCCUUGCCUGGCAAGCCCCUUCUGCAGGGGCCUGGGGAACAAACUGACCCAAAGCUGGAAAGCAGGAGGAAGCAGCAGACAUCCAGGCCCCCGUGUAACCUUCCUCAAGUACAAGUGACCUCAGCAGCACUUGGAGAGGAGCUGGAUAGCUCUUGUAAAAUGUAAACCAUCGCUCUUAUCGCCAGUAAUGACCAUGGCAGUCGUUUCUAGGCUUCUGCUGUGAAAUCAGAGUCUAGGAGUAGGCAACUUUCAACGCUCAGCCCAGGCCCAGCACUCAGACUGGUCAUUCAGCACCCCUUGUCACAUUAGGACCAAGCCCUGUUUUCAGACUCCAGUGUGCAAUAGCACCUGUGCUCCCCCGAGGUAAUUCAGAUGUUUCACCUAAUUUAAUCCCACAACUGGCCUGCAAGUGAGUUCCCCAUCUCUUUACUUUAUUGUUCCUCAGAGAAGGUAAGCAGCUUGCCCAAGGUCACACAGCUUGCAAGAGGUAGUGCUGGGAUUGGAACCUGUGUUUGUCUGAGUCCAGAGCCUCUGCUUCUAACUUCAGUUUGUUGCUCUUCGAGGGAUUGAACUUGAGACCUUGCACUUGCGAGACAGGCACAGGCGGCUGAACCACUGAGCUAAAUCCCUGGCCCUCAGUUUCUUGCUGUUUAAGGGAAACAGUCCCAGCCAAGACUGCCACCUUGCAACAGACAUCUAAGAAAAGGAAAGAACACAAAAGGUCUCGAUCUAACUCGCUGAAAUGUCUAACACACACUCUACCAGGGCAAAAUUGGUAAAAAUCUGGCCUGCCUGCACUGAAGCUGCCUGGUGGGGCCCCCAUGGUGGAGAAGUGGUGGGGUGUACAGAACUGGCUAGGAUGUGUGCAGGCGCACUUGGUCUCCAGAGAGUAGCACCCCAUUCCCAGGCAUUGCCGAGUUCUUUCUGAGCCGCCCCUUUUCCACACCAGUAAUUGAUAGAGCAGCCUCAAAUUGUUAUUUGUUCAUUAACGUGGGUCCCCAGGGGCUCACUGUGCGGCACUUUAGUAGCCUGGAUGGAGUAAUAUAUUUUAAAGUAAUAAAACUACAUUAUUUUAAAAUUAUUUUUUAAUGUGGGCUUUCCAGCCGCUGACUGCCCUUUCUGAUAGAUCAGAAUUAGUGAGUUUUAAUUGUGUGUAAAAAAAGCAAUAAAAUCAUCAUUACCAAAAUGAUGGGGUGCCUCAUUCAUGGUGGGUGUUGUGUGUUGCAGAAUCCCACAUCCUCACUGCAUAGGCGUGAGACUCAUAGCCGAGGGAGGGACUCCAUGCCCAGGGUCCCUUUGCAGGAGCAGGUCAUGCAGCCACACCCUCGGGACACUGCUGAUGAUGACCACAAUAUGGUACUCGUGAGCCUGGCUCCCAGAGCCCUGAGGAUCUGGCUUAAUGAAAACAGGAAGGUAAUAAACCUACAGGAAGAGAGAAAUCGGGCCAUGGCCAGCCCAGGGAUUGCUAGCAUUGAUUUGUUCAGUGCUGACCACGCCUAGGCCAGGCCCUUGUACCCUAAGUGCUGGGUGGACACAUAGGACACUUGAGAACUGACACGAUGGGUCAUUGUACAAGUUAACUUGCACAAGCUCCAGUGGCCUUGGUCUCACCAAUCUAGAUGCUUCAGUGAAGGUGUUUUAUGGAGGAGAUUAGUAAGUCAGAGGGCCAUAAGAGCAAAAGGUGUUUCCCAAAGAAGAGGGAAUUCUCAAGACUGCAGCAUAAAAGUCCUGGCUGAGCUUUUGGCUGUUGCUCUGUAGGAUUUGAACUCAAGACUGUGGUCUGCAGCAUGAAGUCUUACCUGAAGUUUUAGCCUGCCAGUCUGUGUGUGGACUUUGAACAUGCCUCACAACCUGGGAACCAGUUCCUUAGUGUAGCCUUUCUCUGUGUCUAUUACCUCUGCAGACACCUAUACAGACACACAGUAUGUCUCUGUGUGUGCCUAAACACACCAAGCAGUAUCUUUUGCUCUCUAUCUUACUGCCUGAGGGUUCUGCUUCCCUCGAGAACCCUGACUAGUCCAGGCAGAGCCUGCGCUCUUCCCUCUGGAGGCACAGUGGUAUCAGCCCACAAGCAAAUGAUUGUGGGAAGGGCCAGGGAAGCCACUUUGCUUGCAAGAAGAGGUGACCAUGGGCUACAAACUGGGGACCCCCAAAGGAGAGGUCAAGGCGAAGAACAGGUGCAGGAGAUUCAGCCAGGCCUGUCAUCUGCCUCACUAAAUGAGAAUCUCUUUCCCUCCCAGUCUUGAAGGACCUGUUCUUUAUUUAUUAUUUAUUUUUAGAAUUUAUUUUUAUGUGUGCAGGUUUGCAGCACAUAAUGACUCCAUUCGUUAUGGGGAGCCAGCACGUGUACAUAACGCACGCAGCUCCUUUUAUGUCUCCUCCUCUUCUUCCCCUCCCUCCUUCUCUUGGUCCUCUCCCCCUUUGCAAAAGAUCUACCUCCCUGUUUCCCACUGUCUGUCAAUCUGUUGUUUAUUAUUAGCUCUAGAAGGCACUCUAUGUUCAAUGAUACGCAACUCUUUCAUUUUACAGAUGGACAAACCAAGUCUAGAAAGAUUGCCAUCAAAGGGACCAGGGUCCCCAAUCGUGGCGACUAGGGAUAUUUAUCUAUAGGAGUAGUACCAGCUGAUCAGACACAUUUUAUUCUACCUUCCUAUGCCCAUCACAAAUGGACCGCAGGAUCUUUUUUUUUUUUUUUUUUUUAAUCGUACUUGUCUCCCUCGAGAAAGAACUGAAAGGAUACAAUCAAAUAGCUCUCAGGGAUGGCUGUGCAGAUGUCUCCCCUGAGCCCACACAGGGCCCCUCAGCUGCCGGCAUCUAGCCUCUGUAGCAUGGCCUGCAGCCACACAGGGUCUGUGCCAGCCACGACCUCUCCAGGGUCUCCCAGUGAGCCUCUCUUCAGGUAGUGGAAGGAUCUGCAGCAGCAGUGCUGAAAUCAAAGCGGCUGCUACUUACCUAGAAAAUCUGACUCCUUAGAAUGUGCUUGGGAGCCUGCUUCUUCCCUGGAGUUCUUUUCUCAGCAGUAUGGAGGCCAUACUUGCUCUCAGACUCUUAUUCAAACACCACCUCUGCAAAGGGACUGAAGUUCUGUGAGAAACACGGGGUUGUGUUCUCUCAUGGCCCCCGCUGUUCCUACUGCAGAGAGGUAGCAGAAGGAGGGGGAUAAUUCCCAUGGUACAGAGAGAAACUGAGGCACAGAGAAGGGAGUCAACUAUCCUGGACUCCUGGGUGGCACCAGGGCAAACUGGAGGAACAGUGCCAGAAGUAGACCCUGCUGGCAGUGACCGUGGAAGUGCUGGUCUGCAUAGCCAGGGGGCAGGGCCUGGCCUUGAGAAUCAGACCAGCCCUGCUGCUCCACAGGUACUGAGGCUGGCGAAGGGAUGCCUGUCUCUGGGGCUCAACCCAGGUCAAGCCAAGGUGUGGUGACCUGACCAUCUGUGGCCCUCUGUCCCGAUGUCCCAGCAGGGUGAGGGAGGGUUUCACAGCACUCUCCCUGGAGCUGAGGAUUGUCGCCAUCAGCCCGCUGGGUGGGGGGAGACACUUGCUGGAGUAGAAAGGACACAGGACUGGAGACCUGGAUUUUACCCCCAGUCUUUCUUUUCAACUAGCUGUGUGACCUUAUACACAUUGCUUAACCUCUUUAAGUCUGUUUCUGGCUCUGUGAAAUAGAAAUAAUAAGAAUGAUGGCCCCUCGGGGGCUGCGGGCAGCUCCGUGUGAAAUAAUAAACGUGGCCUUGCUCUGUAGUCGGAAAAGCCCGAUGCCAUUGCCCGCCACUGUUACUUUUUGAUUUGUCCUGAAGGAGAUCAGACAACAGAAGGAUCUGGAGUUGGGGAUUUUGCCUUCUCUCAUCUUCUUGUGUCUCGGCGAGGUCACAGUCUGGAGAGUUUCAGCUGCUGGGUCCAAAGCACAGAGGGUGGAGAGGCAGGGUUUGAGCCGGGAAGAAGGUGGGGGAAAGGGGAGAGGGUUGUCCUCUUAGCAGGUGGCAGAAGAACAGCAGGGAUUUUUAAGCAAAAGGCUUAUUGCUCUCUCUCGUGAAAAAAGGGGGUCAACAACUGAGUUUAAAUUCUUGUCCACAUAGAUCUGGGGUGUCCUUUCUCCCCUUCUUCCUAGCAGAAUAUUUCCCUUUCUGGUCUCUCUCAUUGCCUUACAUUUUGUGCUUAUAAAGUCAUUCCUUUUUGCCUCCACGAGUUCUCUCCGGAGCAGCCAACAUUCCUAGGAGAGGUGACAGGCAAGCGCAGUGGGCUGUGACCCAGCUCAGACAAUGAAUGAGUUCCAUCUGGGGCCCAUGAAGGUGAGGGUUAGGACAGGGAUCGCUGUCCUGCCUUUCUACAGGAGGAAACUGGGGCUUAGGAAAGUUAAGAAAGCAGCUAGCAGUCGGAGAGUGAGAGGCCAAACCUUCCCUCCCUACUGCAGUUCUGUUCCAGAGCACAGGCAAGUGACCCUGCCUCUUCCUCCCAGGGGAAAGAUUAGUCCUCACCUUCCCUGCUCUUCCCCAAAUAUGGCUCAGGAUGAGCUGGCAGCAGGUGGGGCCCACUGAGAAAGAGGACAAAAUUGCUGGCCUGUGGCCUGUGUGACUGAUCUUAAAUAAUUCACUGGCCAGUCAGAUGCAACUGUGCUCCCAGAAUCAGAACCAAGGGCCUAUGUUGGUGUUCUGGUGUGUAAGGAGUGUGGGCCAUGCCUGCACACCGAGCAGGGAUCAUUGUCCCUCACUACUGAUGUGGAGACCCUGGCAUACCACAUCGAGGUCCUGUCCCUGAGUGUGACACUGUGCCUGGGUGUGGGAGUGUGUUUCUUGGGGAGGGAUGAGUGUGCUUUGCUCACAGGAGGAGGAACCAGCAGAAUGCUCAGUGUUGUGACAGUUGUUAAUCAUUUCCCUGCCUCCUGUGCCCUUGGUGGAAUUGCACAUCCAUGUCCCUUUGGUGUGGGUAGGAGCCAGUGACUACACUGCCCAAGAAGUUGUGAGUAGAGGUGUUGGGGUUUAUAUCUAGACGUCCCCAAAAACCCAUGCACUCAUAGGCGAGGUUUGGGGAAGGUGAUGGAUUAUGGGGCUAAUAGCUGUUGUGCUAUUGGGAGGCGGUGUCUGGUAGAAAGAGGCAAUCACUGGGGGCAUGGCCUGGAAAGGUUUAUCUACCUCCCCAGCUCCUCCCUUCCUCUCUGCUUCCUGUCCACCAUGCUGUGAGCAGCUCUCUUCUGCCAUGCCCUCUGCCAUGCUGUCUGCCUUGGAGCCAGUAGACUAUGGACUAAAUCCUCUACAAAUUGUCAGCCCAAAUAAACCUCUACCCCUUUAGGCUGUGGGUAUCGGGUACUGUGUCGCAGCAGCAAGGGAAGUAACUAAGAUAGGAGGGUUUACUGGUCAGUCUCUUGCCCUCUGUCACAGUGGCCAGCAACGUUCAGUGCAGUGGGGGCAGCUACUUCCUCAACCUGGACCCCAGAAAGGGGAGGCAGGGAGCAGCUCCCCAAGAGCCCCUGACAGCUCUGGACCCAACCCAGCAGACUUUAGCUGUUCCAAGCCAUUUUGCUUUGGGGUCCCUUGUCACCGUGACAUUCCCUGGUGUGCCCUGAUCAGCGCACUGGUCUACCCGGGGCUGACACAUUGUGCUUUCCCUGCAUGCUCUUGGAAAGUCUAUGGAGGAGCUGUGACAAGCUGGGCCAACCCAGCAGGGGUGACAUUCUCCUGAUCUCUCUUGCCAGCCCGGGUACCAUCAUCAGGCUGUGGGACAGGCGCACUAGACAGCAGAGGGCACCAGAGGCCUGUCUCUGUGUUCCCCGGGCUCCAUGGCAUCAGGCGGUGUGGAGUGGGUGGGGCCAAAGCUGUGGGAGGGUGGCACUUGGGCCAUCGGCAGGGAGAGCUCAGGGCCUGCUCCCUGUGUCGCUGUAGUUGUGGGCGAGUGAUUGUGAGAUGCGGACACCCCAGUUGGCUGCAGGGAGCCUCUGGGGCAGGAGUCGAGGGAGAAGCCUGGCCCUGCCCUCAGUCGUCCUGAGUCCCAGAAGGGCAGCCAGAGCAUAGCCUAGCGGGUGCUGAGUGCAAACAGCCAGUGGGGGACGCAGAGCAGCGUGGUUCCUGGCUGUCCCCAGUCUUCUUUUCCUUAAUGCCUUGAAUACCGUUGCAUUUUUGCUCCAUGCACCCCGCUUCCUUCCUGGCUAGAAUGCAGCCCUGUUUCCUGGGGUCGGGGUGGGGAGCAGAAGUUGGAGAGGGCAGGACCAGCAACAGCUGUUUGCAUCCAUUGACAAAAGAUGUGAGAGCCUGAUCAGUACACAGAGCUUUGGAUGAGCUUGGCUUUGUCCCUUUCUUUCCCCGAGCCUCAGUUUCCCCUUCCGUAAAAAGGGGUAUGGGGCCAGCUAUUCUCUGAGCCCAGUUCUUGCAACCUGAGAUGCAGGUAUUGCUGAUCACAAGUAAGGAGACAGCCUAGGCCAGGAGCGGCGGG
ensembl:lncRNA